rnacentral:rRNA from 1 species
ACUUAGUGGCAGACGGGUGAGUAAUGUAUAGGAAUCUACCUAGUAGUACGGAAUAAUUGUUGGAAACGACAACUAAUACCGUAUACGCCCUACGGGGGAAAAAUUUAUUGCUAUUAGAUGAGCCUAUAUUAGAUUAGCUAGUUGGUGGGGUAAUAGCCUACCAAGGUAAUGAUCUAUAGCUGAUCUGAGAGGAUGAUCAGCCACACUGGAACUGAGAUACGGUCCAGACUCCUACGGGAGGCAGCAGUGGGGAAUAUUGGACAAUGGGCGAAAGCCUGAUCCAGCCAUGCCGCAUGAGUGAAGAAGGCCUUUGGGUUGUAAAGCUCUUUUAGUGAGGAAGAUAAUGACGGUACUCACAGAAGAAGUCCUGGCUAACUCCGUGCCAGCAGCCGCGGUAAUACGGAGAGGGCUAGCGUUAUUCGGAAUUAUUGGGCGUAAAGGGCGCGUAGGCUGGUUAAUAAGUUAAAAGUGAAAUCCCGAGGCUUAACCUUGGAAUUGCUUUUAAAACUAUUAAUCUAGAGAUUGAAAGAGGAUAGAGGAAUUCCUGAUGUAGAGGUAAAAUUCGUAAAUAUUAGGAGGAACACCAGUGGCGAAGGCGUCUAUCUGGUUCAAAUCUGACGCUGAAGCGCGAAGGCGUGGGGAGCAAACAGGAUUAGAUACCCUGGUAGUCCACGCUGUAAACGAUGAAUGUUAAAUAUGGGGAGUUUACUUUCUGUAUUACAGCUAACGCGUUAAACAUUCCGCCUGGGGACUACGGUCGCAAGAUUAAAACUCAAAGGAAUUGACGGGGACCCGCACAAGCGGUGGAGCAUGUGGUUUAAUUCGAUGCAACGCGAAAAACCUUACCAC